UUCUUUAGGGCAGGGAUCAUAUAAUCAUAAUAUAUCAAGUAUAUAAUCAAACAUGUCAUAGAUAUAUUUUCAUCUCUGUCUUCCUCAAGCCUUAAAAAAGGUGUGCUGGGUGGCAGUUGAAUGAAUGAAAAAGCGGCAUUCACAGAUUCAUAGAUGCUUGAAGAUUAAUGGCUAACUGGAGGUUAAAGUACUAGCAUUAAAGGUUCGACGAUCGCAUGACAGUACGCUGUUUGCUACCAAUCAACCUAACACUUAGUAGCACUUAAAAAGUUUUGAAAAAAUAUUAUGACGAUAAACUCCCCAUUCCACAAAUAGCCGGAGACCAGAGUACUACCUUUACAAUAAUUUUCCUUGGCUGAUUUUAUCGAGCGGCUCAGUGCCCUAGUAAGACUUUAGCCAAGAACUGGACCGUGACAGGCGUUUAGAGUUCAAAUCUCUAAAACCCAAUUGCACGCCGGCGUACCGGAACCAAACAGUUCGCGCUGCAGUUUCCGAGGGAGAUGCUUGAGUACGUUACGAGGAAUCGAUUGCUCCUGCCUGACGGAGGUCUCCCGGAAGAGGACUGCGAGCUCGGAGGCUGCGAAAGAGCGUGUUCUUGUCCUGGAGGCAGUUGGAGCCGCAGAGAUUGGGGGUGGGCGCGCUGGGCCUGUUUGGCAGGGCGUCCAGGUGGAUCGGAGAGUUCAGUCAUGUUUGUCUACGCAGUGACGUGGGCUUUGCUCAAGAACAAGACCCUCCGCUGCAGUGUUUUCUUGUUGGUGUCGGAGUUGGAGAGUUUUCCUAGAAAUUGUGAUCGACCAGAACCCUGGAGAAGGUGUAAAGAAUGGAGUGAACCUAAUGUGCAAAGCAAAUGGACCUGAGAGGUACAAGGGGUGGAGCGUAGCAGACAAUGUUGGUGCUCUGUCUGGAUGUCCUGGCUUUCAUUUUAUUGGUUCAGUGCACCCAUUCUUCUCCAUCUGCUGAAUGUGAUGCUGCUAAUGGCUCACACCUGCGACGUUUUCUAGAGGCUUCCCCUUGGUAGAUUGGAGCAACAACACCAGGAGCUAGUCAUCUGGAAGUAAUGCACUACUCAUCCCUUUAACAGCCAGUAAACAGUGACUGCCUAAUGCCUGAUACGGAGGUACAGAAGCCUCACUUCCUUGUCGGAAUGGGGCAAAGACUGUGGUGUGGUGUGUACGCCAGAGCCCCUGGGUGAUUUCAGGGGCCGAGGCUACACUGAGCUGAAACCACACUUUUGCUUUGCUUCUUCCCUUGGCCUUUUCCAUGAGGUUUUUGUUUUUGUUUUUGUUUUUGUUUGGUAUAGUUAUGAGGCUGGACCUUAAAAGAUGCUGCUGAUAUGCUGAUGGGUCUAAAACAGGCAGCUCAGGGUUAUGUUGCGCCCAAGAUUUCUCAUAUAAUUAUGAAAUUCCCCCCUUGAAAAACUCAGUUGUAUCUUUUCUGCUUUUGUAAAGUUUAUUCUAUGUUUUCCCUAAUGUCUAAAGACUGAAUGCUAAGUUCAUUAAUGUUGAGCCUCUUUUGUACUUAGGAAUAUAUAAUUAUCCAUUUUCCUCAAAAUAAGAUUUUAGCAGCAUCUCACAAGUUUUGAAUAUGACUUUAUCAUUCAGUUCUAAGAAUUUAUGAUGUCCAUUAUGACUUUUUUAACCCCCAAAUAAAAGUUUAAAUUUCCAAAUA